rnacentral:piRNA from 1 species
CUGUAACGCUCAGAAAGGCCAGCCACCC